rnacentral:rRNA from 1 species
UACGUAGGGUGCAAGCGUUGUCCGGAAUUAUUGGGCGUAAAGAGCUCGUAGGCGGUCUGUCGCGUCGGAAGUGAAAACCCGGGGCUCAACCCCGGGCCUGCUUUCGAUACGGGCAGACUAGAGUUCGGCAGGGGAGACUGGAAUUCCUGGUGUAGCGGUGAAAUGCGCAGAUAUCAGGAGGAACACCGGUGGCGAAGGCGGGUCUCUGGGCCGAUACUGACGCUGGAGGAGCGAAAGCCGUGGGGAGCGAACAGG